GACGAACGCUGGCGGCGUGCCUAAUACAUGCAAGUAGGACGCAGUUGCGAACGGGGGAGUAACGCGUAGGUAACUACCUAUUAGAGGGGGAUAACUAUUGGAAACGAUAGCUAAUACCGCAUACUCGUAGAUGGACCUGCGUUGUAUUAGCUAGUAGGUAGGGUAAUGGCCUACCUAGGCAACGAUACAUAGCCGACAUGAGAGGGUGAUCUGCCCCACUGGCACUGAGACACGGCCCAGACUCCGACCGGAGGCAGCAGGAGGGCAUCUUCGGCAAUGGGGCGAAACCUGACCGGGCCACGCCGCGUGAGUGAAGAAGGGCUUCGGAUCGUAAAGCUCUGUUGUUAAGAAAGCGGUACUUAACCAGAAAGGGACGGCUAACUACGUGCCAGCAGCCGCGGUAAUAC
rnacentral:rRNA from 1 species